GACGAACGCUGGCGGCGUGCUUAACACAUGCAAGUCGAACGGGCCCGCUCUCUUUUUUGGGGGUGGGUUGAGUGGCGAACGGGUGAGUAUCACGUGAGUAACCUGCCCCCUGCUCCUGGAUAACUGCUUGAAAGGGCGGCUAAUACGGGGUGUGCCGGCUGGUCCGCAUGGGCCUGGUCGGGAUAGUUUCAUCUUCGGGUGUUUCGGUGGGGGAUGGGCUCGCGGCCUAUCAGCUUGUUGGUGGGGUGAUGGCCCACCAAGGCGGUGACGGGUAGCCGGCCUGAGAGGGUGGGCGGCCACACUGGGACUGAGACACGGCCCAGCCUCCUGCGGGAGGCAGCAGUGGGGGGUAUUGCACAAUGGGCGGAAGCCUGAUGCAGCGACGGCGCGUGAGGGAUGGAGGCCUUCGGGUUGUGAACCUCUUUCUCCGGUGGUGAAGGCCCUGUCCGUUGCGGCGGGGUUGACGGUAGCCGGGUAUGAAGCGCCGGCUAACUACGUG
rnacentral:rRNA from 1 species